CUGUCAGCGACCUUCCACCAUCCAGCCCAGCCAUUCCGGGCCUCUGAAGGCCUCUGGGAUGGACCGGACUGGCCCCGCAGCCAUGGUGACUGGAGCAGGGCUUGGCCAAGAAGUCACUCUUGGCCCGGUGGCCUGGGCUCUGAAUCCUCUCGCAGAUGGCUGUCAGCCCUCGGCUCUGCUCCGAGUUACCUCGGGAAGCCCCUUGUUUCCGCCCCCGUAGCAGGUACAGCCCCUGGCAGAUCCUUGAGGGCAAGGGACAGAGUGGCUUCUGUUGAGCUCCCUCAGCUCCUCCCCACAAGCAACAGGAGUGCUGGGUUGGAGGGGACCGAGGGCAGCGGCUCAAGGCAAGGGACACCCUGCCACUGCCCCGCUCCAUCUCCAGUGGGUAGGAGAAGUCCGGUCCCUUCAGCCCAUCCCCUGCCAUCAGGUUGGGGGAGUCCUGGCCACACCAAAAGGAGCCUGCAUGCAUGAAUGCACUGCAAGCCCGCACCCACGCUCAGUGACUGGGAGGGCCUAACAGCCCAUGGCAGGUGAUGAUCCAUCGCUUGACUGGGCCUCAGUGCAGGGGCUGACACCCAGAAGGAUUCCAGUUUGCCCAGGGCCACAUGCUCCCACGGGCUCAGUCCUAUUUACGUCCUGGCCCUGUAGGUUUCCUCCCCACAGAAGGAAUCCCCUGAAAGCAUCUAUCUGGAGUGUGAGCCCCACCCAGCCUCAGCCCCAAUGCCAGCCCUAGCCCUAGCCCCAGCCUCCAGCCUGAGCCGGGUUCCAAAUGUUCAAGCUCUGAUUCCUCCAACCCCUCAGCCCAAGAUCUCAAAGCUGCCCCGGGCCAACACCUUCUCCUGGACAGCCAUC